GCCUUCGUUGAUCAAUGGAGAUCGCCCACACACAUUGGGGAGCAACAGUUAUACUCUGGGUGGGCGGAGGGGGUUCGACUCCCCCCGAAGGCA